GACGAACGCUGGCGGCGUGCUUAACACAUGCAAGUCGAACGGUAAGGCCCUUCGGGGUACACGAGUGGCGAACGGGUGAGUAACACGUGGGUGAUCUGCCCUGCACUUCGGGAUAAGCCUGGGAAACUGGGUCUAAUACCGGAUAGGACCACUGCCUGCAUGGGUGGUAGUGGAAAGCUUUUGCGGUGUGGGAUGGGCCCGCGGCCUAUCAGCUUGUUGGUGGGGUGAUGGCCUACCAAGGCGACGACGGGUAGCCGGCCUGAGAGGGUGAACGGCCACACUGGGACUGAGAUACGGCCCAGACUCCUACGGGAGGCAGCAGUGGGGAAUAUUGCACAAUGGGCGCAAGCCUGAUGCAGCGACGCCGCGUGAGGGAUGACGGCCUUCGGGUUGUAAACCUCUUUCAGCACCGACGAAGCGCAAGUGACGGUAGGUGCAGAAGAAGGACCGGCCAACUACGUGCCAGCCGCCGCGGUAA
rnacentral:rRNA from 1 species